UUUCGAAUAAUUUCCCGGGAAAUGAGAACAGUCAUGGGCGACACAAAAUCCUCAUCCUCGAGAGUCCUACCCAAAAGACAGCGCAUGGCACUAACACAGAAUGACGAGAGACCAAUGUAUAGUACUUCAAGUUCAAGUUCAAGUUCAUCAGACGAAGACUUUCAGACUUCAAGGAGAAAAUGGACGUUAAAAAAGUUAGAAAUGUUUGGAUUAUGCUACGAUUUGCAGUCUUCUGAUGUUUCGUUGUUAAUGGGGGAAAGUAGUAAUCAUAAAUAUCCUCUUGAAGAAGACAGGAGAAAAGUCGUGGAGUCAUUAGCAGAUCAAGUUGACAGCCUGGAUAGGCCUGGCGUAACAUUCAGAGAGGGAGAGAAAUCCAGGACGUGGAUUACUUAUCGCCGUAUCUUACAGAAAUGCGAUGAAACAUUGCAGUCAGUUGAUGUUCAUCUAAAUAACCCACCAACGAAUUCAAAGCUACUUGUUCUUAGCCAAGCUGCACUUCACAGAUUUUACAUAGGUCUAAGAGAGUUCCUUAUUGAAAGUGAUCAGAUUUUGGCAAAAGAAAAACCCAUCCCCAAGCACUUGUACACUAAUUUAUGCGGUAAAUUCAUGGAGAUUUUCUUGUUAAAUGUCAGAUCAGGUUUAUUGGAGAGUUCAGGCAUGACAAUUAAGGGUGUGAAGAGUUCUAGUGAUCCAGAUCUGCGGGCGACAGUACCUGUUAGCUCGUUUGGCAGAAUCUCCAGUGUUCUGGUCAUUAAUGUAGAAGAGAUGAAGCCAGACUACAAGCACAGAGUCCCGGCGGGACCCUUCCAGAUCACGGAAGCAGUCCAACACAGAGUCCUGGAACAACAUGCCUCCCAGCUAUUGCUUGAUUUUAAGAUGUCCGUUUUUGCUGACAUUGGUGCCAUUUUUGGAAUCAUAUGCAUGAGAACAUCUCUGAUUUUCACAUGUUUGAAAAUGUCAUGGAAGCAUUAUGAACUCAUAAAAAUGCAUGGAGAAGAUGUUACAAAGAAAGGAAUGGCAUUUGAAGAAGAUGAUGAAGAAGUAGAAAAUGAAAGAAAAAGGCUGUGUACACGCAAAGAAGAAGAGGAAAGUGAAAGUAAGCGACUGUGUACACGCAAUGAGGAAAGUGAAAGUAAGAGGCAGUGUACACGCAAAGAAAAAACUUCUAAAGAUUCAAAAACUAAGGAAAGAAAUGAAGCAAAGACAAAGCAAAGUGGAACCGUUUUCUAUACUACACCAUAUGAUUACCUUGUGAAAGAGGACAGACAGCAGAUAACUGAGUUCUUGUUUAGGCUAGGGGUGCAUGUAGAAGCUCUAUAAUAUAAUUAAGGUAUGGCUCCUUGUUUAAGUUAACUUUUGAAUAAAUAUUUUUUUUCAUUUAACAAGUGACUUAUUGGUGACUAGUCAAGAUCCUUUGUUCAAAUAUCACUGUUGAGCUGAGUGUAUGGAUAUAGAUACAUGGUUACCCCUUAUGUAGAUUUUUAAUUAUAAAUGAAAGCACAGCAUCUGGCUAGAACUGGAAUAAUGCAAUCAAGUUUUGCUUUUGUGAUUAUUUCACAAGAGACAUUGAAAUAUUAUUUUGUAAAGCACACAAUAUAAGGAAUCUUAUGGACCAGAUUUUGACAAUCACUGCAUGUUUUAUAACAGAACAGUAGUUCUCUGAUGUAGUGAGAGUUAUGCAUCUUACAACAUGGACUAACUACCUUUAAAUAAUAUUUUGUUAGAUUUGUAAUUUUUCAUAUUAAAUGCCUUUGGUUUUUCAUUGUUUGAUUUUAAGUUAAUGCACCUUCAACUUUUUAGGAAAUAAAAUAACGAAUUGAACUUUGCAUGGAGCAUUCUUAAUGAAUUUUAGAUAAAAACUUUGAUAUGAUUGACAUAUACCGGUAUAUAAAAUAAAGAAGAACAAAAAUAAGAAUUCAUGCAUUAAUUGUUGUAAAUAUAAAUUGUAUAUAGAUAAUAAAUAAAUAAAAAUAUUCUCC
rnacentral:misc_RNA from 1 species